UGCCAGCAGCCGCGGUAAUACGAAGGGACCUAGCGUAGUUCGGAAUUACUGGGCUUAAAGAGCUCGUAGGUGGUUAAAAAGUUGAUGGUGAAAUCCCAAGGCUUAACCUUGGAACUGCCAUCAAAACUUUUUAGCUAGAGUGUGAUAGAGGUAAGUGGAAUUUCUAGUGUAGAGGUGAAAUUCGUAGAUAUUUGGAGGAACACCAGUGGCGAAGGCGGCUCACUGGCUCGAUACUGACGCUGAGGUGCGAAAGCGUGGGGAGCAAACAGGAUUAGAUA
rnacentral:rRNA from 1 species